GACGAACGCUGGCGGCGUGCCUAAUACAUGCAAGUUGAGCGAUGAAGAUUGGUGCUUGCACCAAUUUGCAGAGCAGCGAACGGGUGAGUAACGCGUGGGGAAUCUGCCUUUGAGCGGGGGACAACAUUUGGAAACGAAUGCUAAUACCGCAUAACAACUUUAAACAUAAGUUUUAAGUUUGAAAGAUGCAAUUGCAUCACUCAAAGAUGAUCCCGCGUUGUAUUAGCUAGUUGGUGAGGUAAAGGCUCACCAAGGCGAUGAUACAUAGCCGACCUGAGAGGGUGAUCGGCCACAUUGGGACUGAGACACGGCCCAAACUCCUACGGGAGGCAGCAGUAGGGAAUCUUCGGCAAUGGACGAAAGUCUGACCGAGCAACGCCGCGUGAGUGAAGAAGGUUUUCGGAUCGUAAAAAUCUGUUGGUAGAGAAGAACGUUGGUGAGAGUGGAAAGCUCAUCAAGUGACGGUAACUACCCAGAAAGGGACGGCUAACUACGUG
rnacentral:rRNA from 1 species